rnacentral:tRNA from 1 species
UCCCUGGCGGUCCAGUGGUUAGGACUCAGUAUCUUCACUGCUAUGGCCUGGGUUCAAUCCCAGGUCAGGGAA